AGCAGAAGAAACCUGAAGGUUUUGAGAAAGUUCUUCAAGAUAAAAUGAAAGACACAGAAGCAUCCAGGGAAAAGCAGUAUCCAUUGGCAACAUUGUGGAAGAUCAGAAUGCUAAAGAAGAAGACCCAAUAAUCGGUCCUCCUCCUUCUCGCAAACGUGCUUUGCAGUUUGAACAAGCUUAUCUUGAUUCCCUGCCAUCUGCUAUUAAGUAUGAAAACAGCUCUAUGCAUCAGGAUGUAGUCAC